GACGAACGCUGGCGGCGUGCUUAACACAUGCAAGUCGAGCGGUAAGGCCCUUCGGGGUACACGAGCGGCGAACGGGCGAGUAACACGUGGGUGACCUGCCUCUAGCUCUGGGAUAAGCCUGGGAAACUGGGUCUAAUACCGGAUAUGACUCCACGGCGCAUGUUGUGGGGUGGAAAGCCUUGUGUGGCUAGAGAUGGGCCCGCGGCCUAUCAGCUUGUUGGUGGGGUGAUGGCCUACCAAGGCGACGACGGGUAGCCGGCCUGAGAGGGCGACCGGCCACACUGGGACUGAGACACGGCCCAGACUCCUACGGGAGGCAGCAGUGGGGAAUCUUGCGCAAUGGGCGAAAGCCUGACGCAGCGACGCCGCGUGAGGGAUGACGGCCUGG
rnacentral:rRNA from 1 species